AUUGAACGCUGGCGGCAGGCCUAACACAUGCAAGUCGAACGGUAGCACAGAGAGCUUGCUCUCGGGUUACGAGUGGCGGACGGGUGAGUAACGUCUGGGAAACUGCCCGAUGGAGGGGGAUAACUACUGGAAACGGUAGCUAAUACCGCAUAACGUCGCAAGACCAAAGUGGGGGACCUUCGGGCCUCACACCAUCGGAUGUGCCCAGAUGGGAUUAGCUAGUAGGUGGGGUAAUGGCUCACCUACGCGACGAGCACUAGCUGGUCUGAGUGGAUGACCAGCCACACUGGAGCAGAGACACGGUCCAGACUCCUACGGGAGGCCGCAGUGGGGAAUAUUGCACAAUGGGCGGAAGCCUGAUGCAGCCAUGCCGCGUGUAUGAAGAAGGCCUUCGGGUUGUAAAGUACUUUCAGCGGGGAGGAAGGGGGUGAAGUUAAUAGCUUCACCGAUUGACGUUACCCGCAGAAGAAGCACCGGCUAACUCCGUGCCAGCAGCCGCCGUAA
rnacentral:rRNA from 1 species